rnacentral:misc_RNA from 1 species
UCUCCGUAGGUGAACCUGCGGAGGGAUCAUUACAGAGUUCAUGCCCUACCGGGUAGAUCUCCCACCCUAUGUUAUUAUUACUUUGUUGCUUUGGCGGGCCGUUAGGCUCCGGCCCGACUACCGGCCCCGGCUGGUAAGCGCCCGCCAGAGGCCCCAAAACCCUGAAUAUUAGUGUCGUCUGAGUACUAUAUAAUAGUUAAAACUUUCAACAACGGAUCUCUUGGUUCUG